rnacentral:rRNA from 1 species
UUGCGAAUGGCUCAUUAUAUAAGUUAUCGUUUAUUUGAUAGUACCUUACUACUUGGAUAACCGUGGUAAUUCUAGAGCUAAUACAUGCUAAAAAUCCCGACUUCGGAAGGGAUGUAUUUAUUAGAUUAAAAACCAAUGCCCUCUGGGCUCUCUGGUGAUUCAUGAUAACUUCUCGAAUCGCAUGGCCUUGUGCCGGCGAUGGUUCAUUCAAAUUUCUUCCCUAUCAACUUUCGAUGUUUGGGUAGUGGCCAAACAUGGUUGCAACGGGUAACGGAGGGUUAGGGCUCGACCCCGGAGAAGGAGCCUGAGAAACGGCUACUACAUCCAAGGAAGGCAGCAGGCGCGCAAAUUACCCAAUCCCGAUUCGGGGAGGUAGUGACAAUAAAUACCGAUACAGGGCUCUUUUGGGUCUUGUAAUUGGAAUGAGUACAAUUUAAAUCCCUUAACGAGGAACAAUUGGAGGGCAAGUCUGGUGCCAGCAGCCGCGGUAAUUCCAGCUCCAAUAGCGUAUAUUAAAGUUGUUGUGGUUAAAAAGCUCGUAGUUGAACCUUGGGCCUGGCUGGCCGGUCCGCCUCACCGCGUGUACUGGUCCGGCCGGGCCUUUCCCUCUGUGGAACCCCAUGCCCUUCACUGGGCGUGGCGGGGAAACAGGACUUUUACUUUGAAAAAAUUAGAGUGCUCCAGGCAGGCCUAUGCUCGAAUACAUUAGCAUGGAAUAAUGAAAUAGGACGUGCGGUUCUAUUUUGUUGGUUUCUAGGACCGCCGUAAUGAUUAAUAGGGACAGUCGGGGGCAUCAGUAUUCAAUUGUCAGAGGUGAAAUUCUUGGAUUUAUUGAAGACUAACUACUGCGAAAGCAUUUGCCAAGGAUGUUUUCAUUAAUCAGGAACGAAAGUUAGGGGAUCGAAGACGAUCAGAUACCGUCGUAGUCUUAACCAUAAACUAUGCCGACUAGGG